rnacentral:rRNA from 1 species
CAGCAGCCGCGGUAAUACGAAGGGGGCUAGCGUUGUUCGGAUUUACUGGGCGUAAAGGGCGCGUAGGCGGGCGAAUAAGUCAGGGGUGAAAUCCCAAGGCUCAACCUUGGAACUGCCUUUGAUACUGUUUGUCUUGAGUUCGAGAGAGGUAAGUGGAACUGCGAGUGUAGCGGUGAAAUGCGUAGAGAUGUGGAGGAACACCAGUGGCGGAGGCGACUCUCUGGUCUGUAACUGACGCUGAGAAGCGAAAGCGUGGGGAGCGAACAGGAUUAGAUACCCGCGUAGUCCCUGUCUCUUAUAC